rnacentral:rRNA from 1 species
GCUUAGCCCUAAACACAGAUAUUCUAAUACACCAGUAUCCGCCAGAGAACUACAAGCGAAAAGCUAGAAACUCCAAGGACUUGGCGGUGCUUCAAACCAACCUAGAGGAGCCUGUCCUAUAAUCGAUAUUCCACGUUCUACCUUACCCCCCUUAGCCUUCAGCCUAUAUACCGCCGUCGUCAGCCUACCUUAUGAAAGAAACAAAGUAAGCAAAAUAGUUAAUAACUAAAACGUCAGGUCAAGGUGUAGCACAUGGGCGGGCAGAGAUGGGCUACAUUUUCAAAACGAACAUACGGAUAAUAUGUUGAAACACAUAUUUGAAGCUGGAUUUAGUAGUAAAAUAACAAAGAAAACCUUAUUGAAACUUGCUCUGAAGCGCGC